GACGUAGGAGGCGAGCGUUAUCCGGAAUUAUUGGGCGUAAAGAGCUCGUAGGCGGCUUGUCACGUCGGAUGUGAAAGCCCGGGGCUUAACUCCGGGUCUGCAUUCGAUACGGGCUAGCUAGAGUGUGGUAGGGGAGAUCGGAAUUCCUGGUGUAGCGGUGAAAUGCGCAGAUAUCAGGAGGAACACCGGUGGCGAAGGCGGAUCUCUGGGCCAUUACUGACGCUGAGGAGCGAAAGCGUGGGGAGCGAACAGG
rnacentral:rRNA from 1 species